UACGAAGGGUGCAAGCGUUGCUCGGAAUUAUUGGGCGUAAAGGGUAGGUAGGUGGUGGCGUAUGUCUGAGGUGAAAUCCCCGAGCUUAACUUGGGAAGUGCCUUGGAAACGGCGUCACUAGAGUACUGGAGAGGUUCGUGGAAUUCCCGGUGUAGCGGUGAAAUGCGUAGAGAUCGGGAGGAACAUCAGAGGCGAAGGCGGCGAACUGGACAGUAACUGACACUCAACUACGAAAGCGUGGGGAGCAAACAGGAUUAGAUACCCUGGUAGUCCACGCUGUAAACGAUCGGUACUAGAGUUUGUGGGAAUUGACCCCUGCAGACUCGGAGCUAACGCGAUAAGUACCGCGCCUGGGAAGUACGGUCGCAAGACUAAA
rnacentral:rRNA from 1 species